rnacentral:rRNA from 1 species
UGAGGGAAUAUUGGGUCAAUGGGGCGAGAGCCUGAACCAGCCAAGUAGCGUGCAGGAAGACGGCCCUAUGGGUUGUAAACUGCUUUUAUAGGGGAAUAAAGUGAGCCACGUGUGGUUUUUUGCAUGUACCCUAUGAAUAAGGACUGGCUAAUUCCGUGCCAGCAGCCGCGGUAAUACAGAAGGUCCGGGCGUUAUCCGGAUUUAUUGGGUUUAAAGGGAGCGUAGGCCGUCUUAUAAGCGUGUUGUGAAAUGUCGGGGCUCAACCUGGGCAUUGCAGCGCGAACUGUGAGACUUGAGUGCGCAGGAAGUAGGCGGAAUUCGUCGUGUAGCGGUGAAAUGCUUAGAUAUGACGAAGAACUCCGAUUGCGAAGGCAGCCUGCUGUAGCGCAACUGACGCUGA